rnacentral:rRNA from 1 species
UACAGAGGGUGCGAGCGUUGUCCGGAAUCACUGGGCAUAAAGAGCACGUAGGCUGCGCGCUAAGUCAGGUGUGAAAUCCCCCGGCUCAACCGGGGAACUGCACCUGAUACUGGCGUGCUCGAGGACGGUAGGGGUGAGUGGAACUCCAGGUGGAGCGGUGAAAUGCGUAGAUAUCUGGAGGAACACCGGUGGCGAAAGCGGCUCACUGGACCGUCUCUGACGCUGAGGUGCGAAAGCUAGGGUAGCAAACGGG